rnacentral:rRNA from 1 species
UACAGAGGUCUCAAGCGUUGUUCGGAAUCACUGGGUGUAAAGGGAGCGUAGACGGCUGAGCAAGCCUGAAGUGAAAGGCGGGGGCCCAACCCCCGGACUGCUUUGGGAACUGUACGGCUGGAGUGCAGGAGAGGUAAGUGGAAUUCCUAGUGUAGCGGUGAAAUGCGUAGAUAUUAGGAGGAACACCAGUGGCGAAGGCGGCUUACUGGACUGUAACUGACGUUGAGGCUCGAAAGCGUGGGGAGCAAACAGG